rnacentral:rRNA from 1 species
CGCAUCUGUGCAUGCAGCAUAUCAAUAAGCGGAGGAAAGGAAACUAACAAGGAUUCCCUAGUAACGGCGAGUGAAGCGAGAAGAGCUCAAAUUUGAAAUCUUAAAGGUUUUACCUUGACGAAUUGUAGUUUAAAGAAGUGUUUUCUGUUGAAGUUUUGGUAAAAGUUCUUUGGAAUAGGACAUCAUAGAGGGUGAGAAUCCCGUAUUUGACCAUUAUUUUCAGCUUUGUGAUACACUUUCAAAGAGUCGGAUCGUUUGGGAAUGCAGUCCAAAAUGGGUGGUAAAUUUCAUCUAAAGCUAAAUAUUGGCGAGAGACCGAUAGCGAACAAGUACCGUGAGGGAAAGAUGAAAAGAACUUUGAAAAGAGAGUUAAACAGUACGUGAAAUUGUCAAAAGGGAAGCGUUUGACACCAGUGUUGUUUUCUCGAAAAUCAAUUAAAAAUGGCUCGAUUUUGUAUUGCUGAGACCUUAAAAGCUCACUGUACAUUUUUCGUGUCUUUUUUAAUGCACUUUUCGUUUAACAAGUCAACAUCAGUUUCUUUUGUUGUAAAAGGGUCAUUGGAAGGUGGCUUUCUUUUCGGAGAAAGUGUUUAUAGCCUUUGGCCUCUGCAAUCGGAAGAGACUGAGGUCUGCAGCGUAGACUCUUCGGGGUUAGAUACAUUUGUGCUAAGUUAUAGCUUUUUAUAGACAACUUGUUGACUAUAAUUAGUCUUGUAGCUUACUCGCUUAUGCUAUUUUACCUACGCUUAGGAUGUUGAUAGUCACAGCGUGUAC